rnacentral:rRNA from 1 species
UACGUAGGGUGCGAGCGUUGUCCGGAAUUAUUGGGCGUAAAGGGCUCGUAGGCGGUCUGUCGCGUCGGGCGUGAAAACUCAGGGCUUAACCCUGAGCCUGCUUCCGAUACGGGCAGACUAGAGGUAUGCAGGGGAGAACGGAAUUCCUGGUGUAGCGGUGAAAUGCGCAGAUAUCAGGAGGAACACCGGCGGCGAAGGCGGUUCUCUGGGCAUUACCUGACGCUGAGGAGCGAAAGUGUGGGGAGCGAACAGG